rnacentral:lncRNA from 1 species
CGGCGACCCGCUCAGCGUCUACUGCGAGCCCGGCCGCCAGGUGGUCUGCGGCCUCUGCGCCUCCCUCGGCAAGCACCGGGGCCACAGCGUCCUCACCGCCGCCGAGGCCCACCAGCGCAUGAAGAAACUCAUGCCCCAGCAGCAGGCGCAGCUCCAGGAGGCCCAAGCCCGCAAGGAGAAGACCAUCGCUCUGCUGGACCAGCAGAUCGCCGAGGUGGAGGACACGGUGGCGUGCUUCAAGCGCCAGGUGGCGGAGCAGCUGGGGGUGAUGCGGGGCUUCCUGGCGGCGCUGGAGACCUCCCUGGGGGGGGGGGACGGGAAGGGGGCAACUACCUGGAGCAGCUGCGGCAGAUGGAGGCCGUCCUGGACGAGGUGCAGGAGGAGAACCAGACCGCCUUCCUCCGGGUGAGCCGCCGGGUGCUGGGUCGCUGGGUGCUGGUUGGUUGGGUGCUGGUUGCCCAGAUUGGUUGGAUGCUGG